rnacentral:tRNA from 2 species
GCCCCCUUAGCUCAUCGGUAGAGCAGCCGGCUUUUAACCGGUUGAGGGAGGUUCGAUUCCUCCAGGGGGCA